rnacentral:pre_miRNA from 1 species
UGGAAGACUAGUGAUUUUGUUGUUCUGUCAAACUUGGAAACAAGAAAUCACUAUCUCCGAA